UCAUGCUUUCGUUGUCCAUUUGGUUCUGGCUUCCCUGCCAAAAGAGUUUGAAACUUUCGUUGUUAACUACAACAUCAGCCCAGAGAUAUGAGACCUAGAGAAGCUCAUCGCAAUGUGUGUGCAAGAAGAGAAAAGACUUAAAGCCUCGCAUGGUGACACGCUCAACUAUGUUAGGCACAACAAAAGAAACAGCUCUUCUGACAAAUACACGAGGCCAUAAGGGAAACCUCAGUUCAAACGAGGUUCCACUUCUUCUUCUUCUUCGACUCACCCAGGCAAGGGUGCAAAGAAAGAUCAACUGCACAUUGAAAAAGAUCAAUGCAUGUGGUGUCACAAGAUAGGACACUACAAGAAAGACUGACCAGAUUUUCUAAAGCAUUUAAUUAAGAAAGGGUAUAAGUACAAGGACGAUGCUACAAAGAGGGGAUAGAUGGCUGAAAGUCGCCAAUGGAGUUAGAGCCGAUGUUGAAGCAAUUUGUCAACUCACGUUAGAAUUAGAGAACGGCUUUAGUCUCCAGUUGCAUAAUGUUCUUUAUGUACCCUCUUUGUCUAGAAACUUAAUUUCAGUAUCAUGUUUGGCAGAUGAUGGUUAUGAUUGCCAUUUUGGCAAAGAACAAUAUGAGAUUAUAUUUAAUAGUCAGUGUGUUGGUCUUGCCAUC